ACCAGACAAGAUGAUAAGAAAAAAGCGCCCCUGGGUGUACGAGUUGCCCUGACAGCGUAUGUUUUCAGUUUUUUUCAUAUUCUCAUACAAAAACAAAUAAACAAAAAAAAAAACAAGGUUAUGGCCACUGCCUUAACCUGGUUUUGAAGGUCCAGUCUGAUGAGGUGGUUUUCGUGUACAAUCUGAGCUCUAGGGUGUUAAAGCUGAAUGGGAGACAGGGAAUGGUAAUAUCUGCUUGCCCAUCUACUACAAGCAUUACAGAUGGUUUCUUCCUCUCAGUCUGAAAGGUGCUGGUGUGGAUGAUUAUAAAAGGCAUGCGGCUUCUUGGUAUCAUUGAAAUGGUCUCCCAGUAACCCAGUCUCUGUCAUGGUCUCCCCGUAACCCAUUCUCUGUCAUGGUCUCCCCGUAACCCAUUCUCUGUCAUGGUCUCCCCGGUAACCCAGUCUCUGUCAUGGUCUCCCCGGUAACCCAUUCUCUGUCAUGCUAGUAACACAACACCGACUGUCACAUCUGGAGCAAGGUAUUGAUCGACUGACUGAAUGAUUGACAGGUUGAACCCAUACACAAGAUGAACUAUACGGUCGCUGUACCAUGUGUUACUUAAGGACCGCAGGGAGAACUGUGUCCGUGUGUGUCCGUGUGUGUGUGUGUGUGUGUGUGUUUUCCAGGGUGUCAGGUGGUUUUCUUCCAUAACCAAGCAAGAGGGGUAAAGGGAAGGAGGGAGAGAAAGGUGUGAGAGCACAGAAGAAGAGAGGGAUGAUGAAGUGGAAAAGAGAAAAAGCAAGAGAGAGAGAGAGAGAGAGAACAAGAGAGAGAUGGAGAGAGAGAGAGAGAGAGAGAGAGGGAGAGAAAGUUAGAGAGGAAGGGAGAGAGCGAGAACAAGAGAGAGAGGGAGGGAGAGAGGGAGAGCAAGAGAGAGAGAAGGAGGGAAAGAGGGAGAGCAAGAGAGAGAGGGAGAUG
ensembl:lncRNA